rnacentral:piRNA from 1 species
UGGACACAAUCCCUUCUUAAUUUCCUUC